CCCCCCCCCCCCACCUCCAAAUAGUUUACAGCAUGUCACAAUGGGGAUUGGGGGAUUUGGAGUGGUGGGGGUGGUAAAAUGACAUGGAAUAGGAGAGUGUGAUUGGCUGCAAUUAUGCCGUAUAUAUGCACUAGAGAAUAAGCCACAGCAUUAACUCCCAUCUGUGGAGCUCCAGGGACAGGGGUAUUGAUUUGGAUCGGAGCAGUUUGCCAUCUCAGUUUUCUUUCCUGUCACUCUUUUUUUUUUUCUUCUUCUUAAAAAAAAAAAUCCAUAUUGCCACUUUUUGAGAAAUGCUAUGCCUGGCGGGAGAUCUAACCCCUGACUGCCUGCUGCCCGACCUGUGCGUCUGUAGCUGGACCAUUUUGCUUCGGAGUGAAUGUUCUGGAUUGACGGGAGGACUUAAUCACUUUUUUUUUUUUUUUUAACUGAAUGCCACAAGUCUGCCUGCCAAGGACUACAAACCUCUCGCCCCCCCCACCCCCCGCUUAAUAACAGUGCACUCCUUGGGCAAUAAUAUGGGAAAUUAUAAAUAUGAUAUGUAAUAAUAAAUGGACGUGACAUAAAUUGAUUGUAAUUUCAUAUGCCGCACUUUGUUCAGCGAUCACAAGGAACGGCACUUUCAGAGCAGAGUUAUUCCUGAGCCACGCCCCCUUCCCUGCCUCCAGUGACAUCACCACCUCUAAAAACAGCUCUGGGCAGUUCCUGCUUCCCCUCAUAGAAGGAAGUAGGAAGUAGGAAGUUUAAGUUUUUUUUUUCUCCCCAUAACUUAUCUGGGGCUUUCUGGUCACACGCAGACGCCCUUGAAAAUGUAGAUCUUUGCUUUGGGCUUUGCCCCGUGAGACAUGGGUUUCCGACCUUGCUCCUGACCUCCUGUGUAUGCUUAUUUUUUUUAGCCGAGCGGCCAGCAGUAUCCCCCGCUUAAGACUUAUUUUAAACACGCUGCAUGUUUUCGGCCCCGCUGUUUGCUUUUGUCUUUGAGCUCCUCAUUUUCCUCGAAUGGAUUUGUUUCGGGGAGUCAUCAAUCACCGAGGGGCCCCACUGAUUUCGCCCGUCAGCCUAUAAUUGAGUCGGUUAUACAAUGCAACCUCUCUCUGAGCGAAUCGCGGGUAAUAUGGCACAGAAAUCGUUAGCAUCGGAGAGCUGGCCGCAGCGACUGUCCUUGGAUGCGAGCGUAGGAAUUUUCUUUGAGGUUUUCCUAGCUGUUGCUGACAUAAUUUGGCCGUGGAAGAGUGAAACUUCCCUCGACAGCCAUUAAAAACAAACUCGGUUUAAUAAACUCGGGUUGUAAUAAUGGUUUGCGGAAAAAAAAAUAAAACUCCCAUCAUGCCCAGGGGGGACUGUUGGACCGAGUUUGGGAAGUCCUAAAAAUACCCCUCUUCCUGUGGACGUCUCCUGAAAGUGCUGUCAAGUGCAGUCAAGGAUGUGCACUAAAAGGUGCUUCAGAGCUGCCCUUCGGACGCAUGACUUCUUUACCAAUGUGAGCGCAGAGAGCAGCGAGCUGCCAGGACCUGGGCCCAGAGCAAGCAGCAGCAGCGUUUUAUAGAGAUUAGCAGUGGUGAGCUGCCAGGACCUGGGCACAGAGGAAAGGACAUCACCGUGUAGAGAUUAACCUGAGAACAAUAAUCUUAUUAUGUUGGCUAUAGUCAAGUGGUCUUUAUAUGACAUUAUUAGAGAUGGACCUUUAAGCAUUGGUCUGUUGCUAUACGCACGCACACAGACACACACACACACACAUAUUUAUUGUGUAAAAUUUUGUUGGUGUGAACCCAGUGGGGGAGGGGCUUAUUGCAAAUUGCUAGUUUAGCACAGCUCAGUUUAGCAUGGUGCAGUUUAGCAUAGCUCAGUUUAGCACAGCUCAGUUUAGCAUAGCACAGUUUAGCAUUGCUCAGUUUAGCACAGCUCAGUUCAGCAUGGUGGAGUUUAGCACAGCUCAGUUUAGCAUGGUGGAGUUUAGCAUAGCACAGUUUAGCAUAGCUCUAGCACAGCUCAGUUUAGCAUGGUGGAGUUUAGCACAGCUCAGUUUAGCAUGGUGGAGUUUAGCACAGCUCAGUUUAGCAUGGUGGAGUUUAGCACAGCUCAGUUUAGCAUGGUGGAGUUUAGCAUAGCUCAGUUUAGCACCGUGGUAGUUCAGUACAGCACUCGCCUGUCCACAGGGCUUGCUCAGUGAGGGAUUUGCUUUGCUCAGCGGUGGUUUCGACUCUCUUGUCCCGAGUGACUUGUACAGAUUACAUUUCCGCGCACAAUCAGUUUACGCUGCAGGACAUUUCCUGAAGUAGUUCAAGGUUUUGCGACCUUGUUGAAGGGUACAGCAGCCGCAAGUGGGAAUCAAUCUCAGGUUUGACUCGCCGGACCAGCUACCCAAACGCCGUACAGCACUGCUGGCCCACAGCCGCUAGUCACCAGAGAGGGGGAUUUUACAGUUAGGCCUUGGACGGUUUCGGAGGCCUUGCUCCACGUCAGUAGAAAUGCUGAGGCAGCUGUUUUUUGUCCUCAUUGAUAUUUUCUCAUCCCCCCCCCCCCCGUUAGAAAUGUGGGUGUGAGGAGCUGAUAGCCCGGCUGGUUCUCAUGAUGCGGCUGGUUUCUGUUUCAGUGAUGAAUGCAGAAUGCGUGCGAUCCUCCAAGACAGGUGAUUGAUGGAGGAGGUCGCAGCGAUGAAAGAGUUUGGGAACCCGAAAAAGAAAAACGGAAAAGCGGAAAGAAAAACAGUAGAAAAAAGGAAGUUUAUCUGACAGUUGUUUCCAAAAAAAAAAAAAAAUAGGUGCUCUUAUUUGAAUGUUUUUUUUUUUUUUUUUGUUAUCUUGCUUUCAAACUUUGAUCUAGUGAUAUGGCGCAGACACCGCAUACUGAAAUGCUAGCGUAAAGGUCUGUCUCUAAUGCAGUAAUUUCAUAUAAAUAUCCUCAUGUGCUAGGUUAGGCUUUGGAUAACUAUUCCCCAUUCUUCUGGAGCCACUUCGCAUGUAAGGGACCCGCCCAAUCUACGCCAAAUAGUUUUUUUUUUUUCCACAUUCCAGUCUCUCUGUUACCCAGACAGUCCUCUUGCUGGUGGCCACUGUAGAUCAGUUUGGGUAUGGAGCCCUGCAGUGCCCUCUGGAUUUAGGGUUGACAGUUAGUGCGGGCUUCGUGAUUUGUAUGGAUUUAUUCAUGGAGAAGCCUUGUCUCUCCCUCAGACUUUUGACUGCCGUUCCGAUAAUGCAUUGGUGUAGAUUUGUCAUUCGAGCGGCUUGUAUGGGCGGUGGAAUUUGACGGGGCGGAAGAGUCUGUGUUCUGGAUCGCUCUCACAGGCCACAGGCUUUUCCAGCGAGAGAAUGUCUGAAGGAGGUCACAGUGGUUGUUGAGGAGCACCUCUCGUGUUCAGAAAGUGGGAGCAGGAGCACUUCUGGUUUUUGGAAAGGGGGGCUCACCGCCCUCCUGGUUUUUUUUGUGGACGCUGGUGACAAGCAUGUGUCCGUCUGAACGUCAGGUGGCUCCUCCCUCAUGCAGAAAACCGCCAUCUGAACCAUGACGAGGUGCAGGAGCAUAUGCUAACAGUAGUGCUAAGCAUCGCCUGUGGUCUGGCUUCUGAACCGUAACGAGGCGCAGGAGCGUAUGCUAACGGUAGUGCUAAGCAGCGCCUGUGGUCUGGCUUCUGAACCGUGACGAGGCGCAGGAGCGUAUGCUAACGAUAGGGCAAAGUACCUGUGGUCUGGCACCUGAACCGUGACGAGGCGCAGGAGCGUAUGCUAACGAUAGGGCAGAGUACCUGUGGUCUGGCACCUGAACCGUGACGAGGUGCAGGAGCGUAUGCUAACGAUAGGGCAAAGUACCUGUGGUCUGGCACCUGAACCGUGACGAGGUGCAGGAGCGUAUGCUAACGAUAGGGCUAAGCAGCGCCUGUGGUCUGGCACCUGAACCGUGACGAGGCGCAGGAGCGUAUGCUAACGAUGGCGCUAAGCAGUGCCUGUGGUCUGGCACCUGAACCGUGACGAGGCGCAGAAGCGUAUGCUAACGAUAGGGCAAAGUACCUGUGGUCUGGCGCUCUCUGUUUGGCCAGAAGCCUGCGGUCUGCUGCGGGCAAACUGACAGCCUUUCGCAGGGCAUGCUGGGAGCGUCCACGCGUGAACCAAUCAGACGGCCGUCAUUAAGGAUCGCUUCCCAAGAACCUAAAUUGAAUUAAAAUUUAUGUACAUGUCCACAUACUUCAUUUAUUUUCACAGCAUGAUUUUGGCCCAACAUAUCCUCGCAGGCUAAGCCUCAUUCCUUUUCCACACACUUUUAGGAUCUAAUAUCUUCCCGCCAAUCACUAGCUCUGUGAAGAUCGUCUAAGGUGGAGGCUGCACUGUAAAAAAAAAAAAAUAAUAAUAAUAAUACAGAAUACUCGAAAUUUCAAGGCAACUUCACAAAUUUUUUUUUUUUUUAGCUUUGAGCUUUGUGGGCAAGUUAUGCCCAGUAGCAUUCAUUAGUUCAGAAAACUCAAUUUUAAGUUUUUCUACCAAUGAAAUGUAAGUUUUCUGACUUUAAAAAAUCUAAGUAAAGCUCAAAACUUAUUUUUGUGAUGUGGCCUUGCAAUUUUCAGUAUUUUUAACUUUUUUAUGGGGUGGUGAUUAAAAAAUAAUAUGAGACACAAGGGCCAUGCCUGGUAUUUAUAUCCCCGCUACAGCAAGUGCUGGUCACAGACAGUAAAGCAAAAGGUCCGAGUUGUGUGUGGUGAACAUUUCCCAGAAUCCUCUCCUCCAUACUCCUAAGCCUCAAACUCCCAGAAUUCCCCCACUCUCCUCUCUGUAAACAGCCAAUGUAGAUACAGACAAAUAGUUUGUUAAUAUGUAUAAUUUAGCAUUGAUUGCACUCCUUUUUUUCUUUUUUGUAAAUAAUGGGAAAGUAUUGUAAAAAUUUUCAUUUUUAUCUGGAAAGUUCUUGCUUAGACAGACAUUUAUGAACCUGGAGAAAUGCACUUUUGGUUCUAAAAUGUGGAUAAGGAACAUUUUUUUAUUGUAAAAUAACUAAUUUAAAAGUAAUCCAACACACUAGGAAUGGACAGAACAAUGUAAAAUGAGAAUAUUUUAACAGACCGUGUAACUAUAAAUACAUAACAGUAUGUACGUAUGUAUGUACUGUAGAGUUUUUGGUCUACAAUAAAAGUGUAAAAAUCCAAA